rnacentral:tRNA from 1 species
GGCCAGUUAGCUCAGUCAGUUGAGUGUGGCGCUAACAACGUCAAGGUCGCGGGUUAAGGUCGCGGGUUCGAUUCCUGUUUGGUCC